AGUGGCGGACGGGUGAGUAACGCGUGGGUAACCUGCCUCAUACAGGGGGAUAACAGUUGGUAACGGCUGCUAAUACCGCAUAAGCGCACAGUACCGCAUGGUACCGUGUGAAAAACUCCGGUGGUAUGAGAUGGACCCGCGUCUGAUUAGCUAGUUGGUGGGGUAACGGCCUACCAAGGCGACGAUCAGUAGCCGACCUGAGAGGGUGACCGGCCACAUUGGGACUGAGACACGGCCCAA
rnacentral:rRNA from 1 species